GACGGAUGGGGCUAGCGUUGUUCGGAAUUACUGGGCGUAAAGGGCGCGUAGGCGGCCAUUUAAGUUAGACGUGAAAGCCCUGGGCUUAACCUAGGAACUGCGUUUAAUACUGGAUGGCUAGAGUAUGGUAGAGGAAAGCGGAAUUCCUAGUGUAGAGGUGAAAUUCGUAGAUAUUAGGAAGAACACAGAGGCGAAGGCGGCUUUCUGGGACCAUUACUGACGCUGAGGCGACGAAAGCGUGGGGGAGCAAACAGG
rnacentral:rRNA from 1 species